GUGGGGAAUAUUGGACAAUGGGCGAAAGCCUGAUCCAGCCAUGCCGCGUGUGUGAAGAAGGUCUUCGGAUUGUAAAGCACUUUAAGUUGGGAGGAAGGGCAGUAAGUUAAUACCUUGCUGUUUUGACGUUACCGACAGAAUAAGCACCGGCUAACUUCGUGCCAGCAGCCGCGGUAAUACGAAGGGUGCAAGCGUUAAUCGGAAUUACUGGGCGUAAAGCGCGCGUAGGUGGUUUUGUAAGUUGGAGGUGAAAUCCCCGGGCUCAACCUGGGAACUGACUCAAAAAGUGCAUGAAUAGAGUACGGUAGAGGGUAGUGGAAUUUCCUUGGUAGCGGUGAAAUGCGUAGAUAUAGGAAGGAACACCAGUGGCGAAGGCGACUACCUGGACUGAUACUGACACUGAGGUGCGAAAGCGUGGGGAGCAAACAGGAUUAGAUACCCGGGUAGUCC
rnacentral:rRNA from 1 species